ensembl:snRNA U6 U6 spliceosomal RNA
GUGCUCACUUUGGCAGUACAUAUACUAAAAUUGGAAUGAUAAAGAGAGGAUUAGCAUGGCCCCUGCUCAAGGAUGACAUGCAAAUUUGCGAAGUGUUUCAUAUUUUU